rnacentral:rRNA from 1 species
AGCAGCCGCGGUAAUUCCAGCUCCAAUAGCGUAUAUUAAAGUUGUUGCAGUUAGAAAGCUCGUAGUUGAAUUUCGAGAUCAAUUUGUUGGUCGUGCCUCGGUACGUACUGGCAAUUUUGAUUUCUCCCUUCUGAAGAACCAUGAUGUCAUUAAUUUGGUGUCAUGGGGAAUCAGGACCGUUACUUUGAAAAAAUUAGAGUGUUUAAAGCAGGCUCGCGCUUGAAUACAUUAGCAUGGAAUAAUGAAAUAGGACGUUUGAUUCUAUUUUGUUGGUUUCUAGGAUCGACGUAAUGAUUAAUAGGGAUAGUUGGGGGCAUUAGUAUUCAAUUGUCAGAGGUGAAAUUCUUGGAUUUAUUGAAGACUAACUACUGCGAAAGCAUUUGCCAAGGAUGUUUUCAUUAAUCAAGAACGAAAGUUAGGGGAUCGAAGACGAUCAGAUACCGUCGUAGUCUUAACCAUAAACUAUGCCGACUAGGGAUCGGAUGAUGUUAAUUUUUUAAUGACUCAUUCGGCGCCUUACG